rnacentral:rRNA from 1 species
GACGAACGCUGGCGGCGUGCUUAACACAUGCAAGUCGAACGGAAAGGCCCUGCUUUUGUGGGGUGCUCGAGUGGCGAACGGGUGAGUAACACGUGAGUAACCUACCCCUGACUUUGGGAUAACUUCUGGUAACUGGGGCUAAUAACGGAUAGGAGCUCCUGCUGCAUGGUGGGGGUUGGAAAGUUUCGGCGGUUGGGGAUGGACUCGCGGCUUAUCAGCUUGUUGGUGGGGUAGUGGCUUACCAAGGCUUUGACGGGUAGCCGGCCUGAGAGGGUGACCGGCCACCUUGGGACUGAGAUACGGCCCAGACUCCUACGGGAGGCAGCAGUGGGGAAUAUUGCACAAUGGGCGGAAGCCUAAUGCAGCAACGCCGCGUGCGGGAUGACGGCCUUCGGGUUGUAAACCGCUUUCGCCUGUGACGAAGCGUGAGUGACGGUAAUGGGUAAAGAAGCACCGGCUAACUACGUG